GUCUACAGCCAUGCCACCCUGAACAAGCACCAUGUCUAACCUCGGAAGCUAAGCAGGGUUGGGCUUGGUUAGUACUUGACUGGGAGAUUACCUAGGAAGACCAGGUACUGUGGGCG
rnacentral:rRNA from 1 species